CCAAGGAGUCUAACAUGUGCGCGAGUCUAAGGGUUUUAAGAACCUGGAGGCGAAAUGAAAGUGAGCUGGCAGAGCAGGCCGAUCCCCGGCCGGUGACUGAGGCGGAUGGUCGGGCAGUGACUGCGUGCAGCCAUUGUUCCGGACGCCGUCGUGGUACCGGUGCUCCUCCGUGAGGGGGAGAUGCUAGAGUGCAGGGGCGCAGGCCAAGGACUUGCCUUAGGGUGAUGUUGGAGGGCUCGCGGCACGCUUCCUAAGGCCCUCUGACUUUGGCCGGCAAGUACCUGAGAGCGCACUGGUUGGGACCCGAAAGAUGGUGAACUAUGCCUGGCGAGGACGAAGCCAGAGGAAACUCUGGUGGAGGUCCGAAGCAGUUCUGACGUGCAAAUCGAUUGUCAGAGCUGGGUAUAGGGGCGAAAGACUAAUCGAACCAUCUAGUAGCUGGUUCCCUCCGAAGUUUCCCUCAGGAUAGCUGGCAUUCGGAGGUUAAGUUUCAUCUGGUAAANCCAAUGAUUAGAGGUCUUGGGGGUGCAAUGCCCUCAACCUAUUCUCAAACUUUAAAUGGGUGAGAUGUAGAGCUUUGCUUAAUUAGUGAAGCUGUAUUGAUGAGAAUUAGAAUGCUUAGUGGGCCACUUUUGGUAAGCAGAACUGGCGCUGUGGGAUGAACCAAACGUACGAGUUAAGGGGCCUAAAUGAAUGCUAAUUUUGACACUCUGAAAAGGUGUUGGUUGCUAUAGACAGCAGGGCGGUGGCCAUGGAAGUUGGAAUCCGCUAAGGAGUGUGUAACAACUCACCUGCCGAAGCAACUAGCCCUUAAAAUGGUAUGGCGCUGAAGCAUUCUCCCGAUACUCGGCCGCCGGGGCAUUAGAUGGCCAUUAAGUUGGUGUUUUAGCCCUGGUGAGUAGGAGGGUCGCAGCGGUGUGCGUCGAAGGGAUCCGGUGUAGGCCGGCCUGGAGCCGCCGCUGGCGCAGAUCUUGGUGGUAGUAGCAAAUAAUCAAGAGAGAACCUCGUUGACUGAUGUGGGGAAGGGUUCCAUGUCAACAUCAGUUGAACAUGGGUGAGUCAGGCCUAAGCCCAAGGACAGAUGUCCUGCAUGCCACGUGUUCC
rnacentral:rRNA from 1 species